GGUCGUAGUUCAGUGGUAGAGUGCACGUCUAGCACGUGUGAGGCCCUGGGUUUGAUACUCAGCACCA
rnacentral:tRNA from 1 species